rnacentral:rRNA from 2 species
AGCAGCAGUGGGGAAUAUUGCACAAUGGGCGAAAGCCUGAUGCAGCGACGCCGCGUGAGGGAUGACGGCCUUCGGGUUGUAAACCUCCUUCAGCAGGGACGAAGCGAGAGUGACGGUACCUGCAGAAGAAGCACCGGCCAACUACGUGCCAGCAGCCGCGGUAAUACGUAGGGUGCGAGCGUUGUCCGGAAUUACUGGGCGUAAAGAGCUCGUAGGCGGUUUGUCGCGUCGUCCGUGAAAACUUGGGGCUCAACCCCAAGCUUGCGGGCGAUACGGGCAGACUUGAGUACUGCAGGGGAGACUGGAAUUCCUGGUGUAGCGGUGAAAUGCGCAGAUAUCAGGAGGAACACCGGUGGCGAAGGCGGGUCUCUGGGCAGUAACUGACGCUGAGGAGCGAAAGCGUGGGUAGCGAACAGGAUUAGAUACCCUGGUAGUCCACGCCGUAAACGGUGGGCGCUAGGUGUGGGUUUCCUUCCACGGGAUCCGUGCCGUAGCUAACGCAUUAAGCGCCCCGCCUGGGGAGUACGGCCGCAAGGCUAAAACUCAARGGAAUUGACGGGGGCCCGCACAAGCGCGGAGCAUGUGGAUUAAUUCGAUGCACGCC